rnacentral:lncRNA from 1 species
AAGGCGAGUCAUAUUUUUUUAGUGGAUUUACGUGGGAAUCAGUAGUCAUAGGCUACAGUUUUGGACUAGUUGUUGGAACUGUCAUGUGGAGUCUCAUGUUUAAAUAUCGUAAGCCAAAAUGGUUUGUGGAAUUUUUCUAUGGACUCAUGCCUCACAAAAGAAGAAGGCCAAAGAAGAGAGCUCAGAGAUGACAGACUUAAUGGAAGAUUGAGAGGGCCAACUUGUUUUUGAUUGAUUUUGUGGACUAAUUAGUGAACUUUUCUGGUUCUGUUUUUGUCUUUUCAAUUUUCUGUUUGUUAUUUGUAUAUGUUUGAUAGAAACAUAAUUAUAUAUGAGCCAUUUAAUUAGUAUCAAUGGUUAUUCAAGUUAUGUUUCUGUUUCAAGUUGACAUAAGUGAUCCACACAGCCACUUAUUAAUUAGCUAUGUUACUCGGACUUUUCAAAAAUGCCAACGGGUACUUGUUGGAUUCUUCAAAGUAUUGCAUUUCUCAAGGAACCAACACAGGUGUGACAUCAUUAUAUUUUAGGAGAGUUGGAGCAACAUAGCUCAUUAGUACAACAAAAAGGAAAAAGCAAAGCAGUAAGCAUAUAGAGUUUGGUUCAUGAUUGAAAUCACUUGAUAUUAGAAAGUUCAUAUAUUCAGCAUAACUGCAUGUCCAUUUUACAUUACAGUUCUUCUUAUACAAACUAGAAAAGAAAAUCUUGUGUUUACAGAAACUGAAAAUUGAUUUUCUAUAAUGUAAUACAUUUGCAUUGACCACACUACCCUUAUGUCACUGUGUUUUACAGGUUACCAAGUCUAAGAAAAAAAGUAAGAUUUUUUAAAUUUGUGAUUUUGAAUAUGACGUGCGAUUUUUGUGGCUAAUUAAUUACAUAUAUGCAUCAAAUCAUCUUUUAUUUGAAUAGCUUCGCCUUCUUAUAUGAACAAAUGACGCUUGCUCAAGUGGUUGAGCAUCUUCAUCAUUAGCCGGCAUACUAGAGAAUAAGUGGAAACACUAUGAAUCCUCCUAAAGUUGGGUCGGAACUCGAGGCUCAGUUAACCUUUUUUCUUUGUUGCUUAAUCUAAUACGAGAUUUUAUUAAUAAUAGAGUGCAAACUAGCUGUAAAGUAUCAACUUUGUCCCCAUUACGUUUUUUUCUACUACAAAAAAACUAGAAAAGUGAGAAGUGUUGUGGAAAAUUAUAGAAUGUACCUAACAUGUUUGAAAACAACUAAUCAGGAAUUUCUGAUAUUAUUUCUCUGCAAUCUUUAACAUUAAAUAUUGACCAAGUCAAGUAUCUCUGGUGGUGGAAUUAGAAUGUUGAGUUAGCUUUACUUUUAUUUCUUUCUUGUUUAAGAUCUUAUAUUUAUAAAAUAAGGCAACAUGUCCUAUCAUUAUUAUACUAAAUUUAUUUUUCUUCUUGUUUAAGAGCUUAUAUUUCUGUAAAGACUCUGUAUGUAAUAUUUUUCUUCUUUCUUUUGUUUUUCUCUUGAUUAGACUUUUUAAAUUUGAUUUUCUAUGAAUUUCUUAAUGUCGUAAGUUUUUGUUUGUGCUCAAAUUAGCCAUUUGUGAUUUAAUUGAAAGUGUUCUAACUACUAAUCAAAGUUUAAAAUUUAUAAUUAUUAGUGUGAAAGGAAUUAAUUUUAACAUUAAAAUAUGACCCUCAUUUGAUCACACUUUUAAGGAUUUAUUUAUAAUUAUUACAUUUUAUUACUCAAUACAUAUAUAUUUUCAUAUAAUUUUUAAUUGUUUUGAGAUGUAUAAAAAUUUAGAUGAAACACAUGUGCAACUCAGAAACUAGUAUAUAUACAUGGAUUUUGUAAGAAGAGAACAUCCAUCCUGUUAUUUGCUGAAAACAAACAAACAAAAAAUGGUCAUGAGUCUCUUUUUCUUUUAUUCAUUUCUCUGUUUUGUGUUGCUAAUAAGUGAAUGCUUUUCUUUUUCCUUUGAGCAUCAUCUUUGCUCUCCCACUGAAGCUUAUGCUUUGCUUCAGUUUAAGCAAUCCUUUAAAAUAUCUGAUUACUCUAGUUUUGAGUGUGAUACUUCUUUUCCAAAAACAAAUUCUUGGAAUGAGAGUAGGGAUUGCUGCAGUUGGGAUGGAGUCACUUGUAACUUAUUAAACGGUCAUGUUAUUGGGUUAGACCUUAGUUGUAGUCUGCUUGGUGGAAGUAUUCAUCCCAAUAGCAGCCUCUUCCAACUUCAUCAUCUCCACACACUAAACCUUGCUUACAAUGACUUCGAUUAUCCUUCUUCAAUCCCACAUAACAUUGGUCAAUUGACGAAUUUGAGGCAUCUCAACCUUUCUCAUUCUCACUUUGAUGGAAAAAUCCCAACAGAAAUCUCAUACCUUUCCAAUUUGGUUUCACUUGAUCUUUCUUCUUUUUAUGGUUAUGUUUUACAACUUGAUGAGAGAACAUUUGAAACAAUGCUUCACAACUUCACAAAUCUGGAGCUACUUUCUCUCUCUUUUGUCAACAUCUCAUCUCCGAUGCCUGUGAAUGUUUCUUCCUCCUUAAGGUACCUCGAUCUUGGUUAUACUAAUAUGCGAGGUGUUCUCACAGAGAGCUUUUUCCUUCUGUCAAACAGCUUGGAAACGCUCAAAUUAAGUGAUAAUGAUCUUCUCAAAGGAGUUUUUCCAAAGACCCACCCGAGCAACACUCUGUUAAUGGAGUUGGAUAUUUCAGGCACAGGCAUCUCCGGUGAGCUGCCUCAUUCAAUUGGCACCUUCAGUUCCUUGAAUAUCUUGAACCUCUAUGGAUGUCAAUUCUCUGGUUCCAUUCCUGAUUCCAUAGGAAACCUAACACAAAUUACGGAGUUGCUUUUAUCUUAUAAUCAUUUCACUGGCCAUAUUCCUUCCACAAUCUCUAAAUUGAAGCACCUCAGAAUUUUAUAUCUUUCUGACAAUUCCUUCUCAGGUGAAAUUCCUGAUGUUUUCUCUAACCUCCAAAAGCUAUACUAUUUAGAUCUUUCUGAAAACAGCUUCACUGGUCCAUUUCCUGCUUCAAUUUUAGGUUUGACACAUCUUGAAUACUUAGACAUGUCGAGUAAUUCCCUAUCUGGCCCACUACCUAGCAACCAAAGCAUGCUUCAAAAGCUAACUUCUGUGGAUUUGUCAUACAACUCACUGAAUGGUACCAUACCAUCUUGGGUGUUUCGCCUACCUUUGCUAUCUUCAGUGUCGCUCCAACAUAACCGAUUCAGAGGACUAGCCGAGGAAGUGAUCAAAACAAACCCAACAUUAAAACAACUGCUUUUAAGCAAUAAUCAACUCAGUGGUUCUUUUCCUCAAUCACUUGUGAAUCUCACAAACCUUGAAACCCUUGGAAUUUCAUCAAAUAACAUCACCAUUGAUGAGGGAAUGAAUAUCACCUUUCUUAGCCUAUCAUCUUUAUUCUUAUCAUCUUGUCAACUGAAGUAUUUUCCACACUUCUUGAGAAAUGUAAACACACUUGAGGGCUUGGAUAUUUCUAACAAUAAGAUUUGUGGUCAAAUCCCUAACUGGUUUAGCAGCAUGAGGUGGGACUCAUUGCUGUUCCUAAACCUUUCUCAUAAUUCAUUAACAGGCCACCUACCACAAUUUCAUUACUAUAACCUACCACAAUUUCUGUUUCAAGUUGACAGAAGUGAUCUACACAGCCGCUCAUUAGCUAUGUUACUCAAACUCUUCAAAAAUGUCAAUGGGUACGUGUUGGAUUCUUCAAAAGUAAUGCAAUUUUUAAGGAACCAACACAGGUGUCAUUAUAUUUUAGGAGAGUCGAAACAACAUAACUCAUAUUUCUUAACAUUUUCUGCUUCUACAUUUAUUGCUGUUAAAGAUCAUUGCUUGAAAUGGCUUAACUCAUACACACAGAGGAUAGCAACUAUUGAGCUGUUGACUGAAGUGUUCCAUUUAUUAAUACAACAAAACAGGAAAAGGCUACAUCCACCUCUGGGGCUCAUGUUGUUCUGUUUCUUCAAAUGCAAAACACUCUCUAUCAUGAUAUUCUUUAUUUUCAAGGUUCGAAUCUGAAACCCUUGGUUCAAUUUUACCUGGAACCAUUCAUUUAGCAUAACUAGAUGUCUUAUCGCAUUAUAGUUAUUAUACAAAGUGAAAAAAUUCAAGGGAUAAUAAGACCAUCUCAAAAAUCGGGUGUGUAACUGAAAAAUCUGACUCGACUUUAAGGGUAUACUUAGGGUGGUUCAAAAUCGAACCAUAACCGAUAGGCCAAUCGCAAAAUUGGCUUAUUUGUAUUGGAUUAUCGGAUUAACGGUUGAUCAACGAUUAAAAUUUUAUAGUUACGGUGCGGUGGCAGAUUACUCAAUUUCCUUAGGGAAAAUUACGCGGAAAAGCAAACAUAUACUAGUUAAUUAGCUAAUAUAGAUAUCACGACCCAAGUCUACACCCUGGAUGUGGCCGGCACUCAAGAACCAUUGUUGAUCCCCAAGCGAACCCUCAUCCUGACAGACUAACUUAAGCAUGCAAAAGCUUAAAAUUGAAAUUCAAUAAACUCAACUUUGUAAAACAUUAACUCAAAUGAACAACUUAGAAUAAAAAUAAUAUAUUCAACUCGCCAUAAAAUAGGCAACUUAAGUCUUUAAAACAUUUAAUAAAAUAAAUAAAUAAUACAGACUUUUCAACUAUACUGACUAUCUGUGAAGCCUCUAACUAAUAAAGAUAGAAGUCGAGACAAGACCCACGACAUCAUGACUAAACUAAAAAGUAAAUGAAAUCCUCCGGAAACAAGGAGGCUCACCAUAGCUAACUCGAACUCCCGGAUGUAUCAACGAAUCUCCUGUUAAUGAUCCUGAAUACAUAUGUCUGCAUCAUGAAAAGAUGCAAGCCAAAUGGCUCAGUACGUGGAAUGUACGAGCAUGUAAGGGGAAUUCUAAAACAUAAACAUAAGCUUGAAACUUGAUAAAAAGGAGACAUACUUUCCUCUUUUCAAACUUACUCAACUAAAGGAAUACUCAAGGACACUCAAAACUACUCAAACUUACUCAACUCAGAAGUACUCAAGGAUAAGAAACUCAACUAAGUAAUAAUUUUCUCAACUCAGUGAAACUCAACAAUAAGGUACUCGACACAAUGAANNNNNNNNNNNNNNNNNNNNNNNNNNNNNNNNNNNNNNNNNNNNNNNNNNNNNNNNNNNNNNNNNNNNNNNNNNNNNNNNNNNNNNNNNNNNNNNNNNNNNNNNNNNNNNNNNNNNNNNNNNNNNNNNNNNNNNNNNNNNNNNNNNNNNNNNNNNNNNNNNNNNNNNNNNNNNNNNNNNNNNNNNNNNNNNNNNNNNNNNNNNNNNNNNNNNNNNNNNNNNNNNNNNNNNNNNNNNNNNNNNNNNNNNNNNNNNNNNNNNNNNNNNNNNNNNNNNNNNNNNNNNNNNNNNNNNNNNNNNNNNNNNNNNNNNNNNNNNNNNNNNNNNNNNNNNNNNNNNNNNNNNNNNNNNNNNNNNNNNNNNNNNNNNNNNNNNNNNNNNNNNNNNNNNNNNNNNNNNNNNNNNNNNNNNNNNNNNNNNNNNNNNNNNNNNNNNNNNNNNNNNNNNNNNNNNNNNNNNNNNNNNNNNNNNNNNNNNNNNNNNNNNNNNNNNNNNNNNNNNNNNNNNNNNNNNNNNNNNNNNNNNNNNNNNNNNNNNNNNNNNNNNNNNNNNNNNNNNNNNNNNNNNNNNNNNNNNNNNNNNNNNNNNNNNNNNNNNNNNNNNNNNNNNNNNNNNNNNNNNNNNNNNNNNNNNNNNNNNNNNNNNNNNNNNNNNNNNNNNNNNNNNNNNNNNNNNNNNNNNNNAUGUGGAAUUAUGAGCAUGAACUACUCAACUCAAGACUGUUCGACUUAUAGGAUUCAUGCCAAAUUAUGGGCAUGAACACUUCAACUCAAGGACUUCAUGAGUAAUAUGAAAUAGUUCCAUGAUUAGAAAAUAUAAUCUCAAAGGGGAUUGGGAACUCAAUACUCAAGACUUAGAACUUAAAGAUAUUACCCCUCUCAAUGAUGCUCAAUUUAUGAAGUCUAUGCGGAAUUUAUGGGCAUGAACGACUCGACUAGAAGGUCUACAAACUACAUGGAAUUCAUGUAUAUGACACUUCUCAUUCUCUUACUUACCACCUCAAAACUUAGUUCAAAUCGAUAGUUGAUCUCAAAGGAUUCACAAUUGAACUCAAAGGCUUUCUUGAACUCUAUUCUUAACUUUCUCUUGAAUGUGAAUUAUGAAUUCAAGAGUUAUGGUUCAUGAUAUGAAGGAUAUCAUGAUGACAAAGUAUAUUCAUGAAUACAUUCUCCUCAUCCUCAUACUCACUUGCUCGAGUCUUGAAACAAGUUACUAGAAGUUGUAGAAAACUCCUCAAAAGAGCUCAAAGGGGCUUUCUGAGAAUGUUCGAAAGAAUUCUCAAAACUUAACUCUUAACUCUACCUUGAAUUUGAAUUAUGAAUUCAAGGUUAUGAUAAUGUUAGGAAUGAUUUUAGGUGUUUAGAAGUAUCUUAGAGUAGUUAGAAUCGAAAAGGAGUGAAUGUACCCUUCGAAAGAACUCAAACGAAGCAACCGAUUGCAAACUGGACGGGGCAGGAGACCCUGGGGCUAUGGGUGGCGCGGGGAGCCAGCCCCUAAACUUCAGAGCAUACUUUGGGGCGCUCUGGUUGGCGCUACGCGCCAGGACCCAACCCAGAAGACCCGACGAAAUUCUUUGCUAGUUUUCUCACCCUAUUUCGCUUAGAAUCGAGCGGUUUCUUCCCCAAUCACUUGGAUUCGAUUAUUUAACAUAAGUACACUCUAAUAUAUUCAAUACAGCCCUAAAAACACUCACAUUAAUCUCAAGAAAUCAUCAAAACUUCAACAAAACAAGAUUUAAAAUGAACUUCAAGAACACCUAACAAGAAAUCAUCAAGAACUCUAAUCCUUCAACUUUAAGAACAAAAUUGCGCUGAAAACAACAUGAUUGGCGUGUUGGUGAACAAAUCCAACACUAUGGAAGCUUACAUACCUCUUAGGGAUUAAACCCAUGGCGAAAAUCCGCAACAAAAUGCAAGACUCUCGACGAACGCUUUGAUCAUCUCCUCUUUUCUCCUCUUUUCUCUUCUUGAACUCUCAACUAAAACUCUAGGCUAAUUUUAGGAUUAUAAAACUGAACCUAAUAGGAUUAGACCCUUAAAACCUUACUAAAAAUGAAUUAAAUCCGAUUUGGUAAGGAAAAGACUAAAAUACCCCUCUAAAAUCCGGUUUUGACUUUCCUUAUCUAGACAACCCAACUUCGAAUGCACAUAUCUCCCUCAUACCAACUCAAAAACUGAGAAAACUCGGUGGCGUUGGAAAGAUAAUUCAAAGAUCUUUCCUACGGUAUCUGGUAGCACACCUAAAUCAUUCUGAGAUAGGAGUUAUGGUCGUUUGAAGUCAACCCAAAACUCAUACUUAGCUUAACUUGCAAAAUUUCAAAUAUUUGUUAUUUCCAAUUUAGUUCUUUUUGAUACUCAGGUGCUACAUCUAGUGACCUGACCUUAACACUUAAGAAAUUUUAAAUUCCUUAGUAAAAUCCUACUCACAACGAAGGACGGUUCAAGUCUUAGCUCAAAAUUUUUCUGGGGUGUUACAAUAGCUAUAGUUUGAAUUAAUUACGGCUCGCAACUUAAUUUUAGCUUUAAUUACGCCACUUGUCCUCUUUUAUACAUAUACAAAUACAAAUUAUACACAUAUAUACUCUUAUCGUAUCAUUGACUAAUGAGUAAUUUCUUAACAAGAAACCUUAAUGAUACCAAUAAAGUAUAUAUAUACUGAUUUAGUAUCAAUUUAGCGAAAUUAUCAGCCUUAAUGAUAUCAAUACAGUAUAUGAUAUUGAUUUAGUAUCAGUUAAGCGAAAUUAUCAACCUUAAUGAUACAAAUACAGUAUAUGAUACCGAUUUAGUAUCAGUUAAGCGAAAUUAGUAAGAGGGUAUAUAGUGUAAUUAUUUAGUGGGGUAUGAAUGUAAUGCGGUAUAUGUUUGUAAUUAUUUUGCUUUUAUGGGGUAUUUGCUUAUUUUCCCCUUUUCAUAAAUCUAACUUGAGGUGGGCUGAGUUCUAUUAAAUGUCGGUUGGGCUUGUUUUGCAAUUUCUAAAAGCCCAUUAAGUUUUGGCAUCUAUAUAUAUUUGGGUCAUUCACCAUGAAGUUAAGGAUUAAAAAAAUUUCUUUCCAUAUGACAUUCAUAUUUAAACGAAUUUAAAUUAUAUAUACCAACAAUAUAAAGUCUACAAUCAGUAUAAUUUAACGUGUUCUAGUUAGCAUGUUGUUUACCUUGAUUUGCAGGUUAUUAAUUUCACUUAUAAUGAAGAGUCAUGAUCUAUAGUUACUUUUAGACGAGUUGACAGUAAGAAAAUUUCUUUAAAGCUCUAGCAUACAAUUUUUCGAGAAACAAAAAAUAUAACAAAUGGAGAUAAGCCUAAAAUACCUUCGAACUAUUGGAAACGGAGGUACACACCACUCUCUUCAGACCCCACUUGUGAAAUUACACUAGGUAUGUUACGUUGUUACUCUGUUUCACUUACAAAACACUUUUGCAAAAUAUCAUAUUUUUCUUUUUUUUCCCAUCAGUAGUCUUUGUGGAAAUUGGGUUAGACUUUGGUGGAAUAUUGAUGGAGUUCUAACAAGUCUUGUGGUAAUUUAUUGAGAAGUUUGUAAAACAGACUAAUCAAUUACUUGGAAUGAUCUUCACAAAAUUAUUCAAAACAUACUAACUAAUUAAGCAGGAAAACACAUAUCAAACAAAAUUUUAAAUAAAAUUCCACACGGUAUUGGAAAUUUGUCACAAAAUUCUGCAGAAAUAUUUUCUACCGUGAGUGUUACGUAACGAGACCAAUUAAUUCACAUCAUCUUGCAUAACACACGCUGCAGAGAUAUAUAGUCGAUGACCUUGAAAUGAAUAACAACAUCUAGAGAAAAUGAGGACAUAGGGAGUAUUAUUUUGUUAAGUCUUCUUCGUGCUCUGAAAAGUCUUGUGGAACACUAUAAAAUAAUGUGUAACACGUUGUUAGAAGUGACUAGUACUCAUUCAUGGACCACAAAUGACUGAAAAUUGACUUAACACUUGGGACAACUUUUUAGUAACCACAAAUUAUUACCCCAUUUUAUUUGUCUGGAUGUGUUUCUUUUCUUCGUUAAUUUAUAAUUGAUAGUCCCGUGCAUAAACAAGUCAACAACGCUGCUUUAUGAAUUACUGUUUAGUUAAUUGUUCACUUUAUUUAAUGUGGAGGUCGUUGUAAUAAUUAAGAAUUGGAAUAGUGUUUGGUUAAUUAUAGUGCAUCCUUUCUUAUGUGGCUACUUAUUUUAUUGACUUAUACAUGUCUUGACAAUUAUCAUGAACCCACAUCAUUAUUUUUACGUUUACCUUUUUUAUUCUUUCAUUAUUAAAUAUUCUAAAGUCUACCAAAUGGUAAAACCUUUUACAUUAUACAAAAUAUAUUGUUGGGUGUUAAUAAAAAGAUCAAUUUGUUUUUUGGUGUAUUCUUUAAAUUACAAGCACUACAACAAAAACAACUUUUAGCGGCAAUAAAUAUACACAUUAAUAAAGAGUGUUAAAGUUUUUACCAGCAUUGGUUAAGUAUCAUUAGAUUCAAUGUCGCUAAAAACUUUAGAGACAUACACAAAGAGGGUUAAUUGCCACUAAAAAUACAUUAUAUCAUUAUAUCAAAUUCAACACAACUAUUUCAAUAUCAUUAUAUAAACUUCUUAAAGUUUUGAGUAGGAUUUUAUUAUUCUAACUUUAUAUUAUAUCUUUUCAUUGAAAAUUUUCGUUGUUUGUAUUCUUACUUAAUAAAGGUUUGUGUACCUCCUACUUCCUUGAAACUCUACGCAGUAUGUUAUAAGUAUUUUAAUUUAUGUAUGACAACUAAAAAAAUAAUUAGAGGGCCUUGCCUGUAUGUUUUCAUAGAAUUUUGAUUAUUCUUACAAAUCUAUAAAAAAAUUACAAAGGACACUUAGAAAGUAGUAUAUAUAUGUGUGGAUAAUACUGAUUGAUUUGUAAGAACACAUCCAUCCUGUUAUUUGCUGAAAACAAACAAACAAAAAAUGGUGACUCUGUUUUUCUUUUAUUCAUUUCAGUGUUUUGUGUUGCUAAUAAGUGAAUGUUUUUCUUCAUCCUUUGAUCAUCGUCUUUGCUCUCCCACUGAAGCUUCUGCUUUGCUUCAGUUCAAACAAUCCUUUCAAAAUAUGUCCAGAGAGUCCUGUAAUUAUUCGUGUCAUGGAGAUUGUUUCCCAAUAACAAAGUCUUGGAAUGAGAGUAGGGAUUGCUGCACUUGGGAUGGAGUCACUUGUGACAUGUUAAACGGUCAUGUUAUCGCCCUGGACCUUAGUUGCAGUCAGCUUGUUGGCAAUUUUCAUCCCAACAGCAGCCUCUUCCAACUUCAUCAUCUCCAGACACUAAACCUUGCUUACAAUGACUUCAAUUGGUCUUCAAUCCCACAUAACAUUGGCCGAUUGACGAAUUUGAGGCAUCUCAACCUUUCAUGGUCUCACUUUAGUGGAAAAAUCCCAACAGAAAUCUCAUACCUUUACAAUUUGGUUUCACUUGAUCUUUCUGUGAUUGGAUUCCAACUUGAUGAGACAACAUUUGUAACAAUGCUUCACAACUUCACAAAUCUGGAGGUACUUUCUCUUUAUGGUGUCAACAUCUCAUCUCCGCUACCUGUGAACAUUUCUUCCUCCUUAAGGUACGUGGAUCUUGAAUAUACUAAUCUGCUAGGUGUUCUCACAGAGAGCUUUUUCCUUCUGCCAAACAGCUUGGAAACGCUCAAAUUGAGUGGGAAUGAUCUUCUCAAAGGAGUUUUUCCAAAGAUCCACCCGAGCAACACUCUGUUAAUGGAGUUGGAUAUUUCAUCCACAGGCAUCUCUGGUGAGCUGCCUCAUUCAAUUGGCACCUUCAGUUCCUUGAAUAUCUUGAACCUCGAACAAUGUCAAUUCUCUGGUUCCAUUCCUGAUUCCAUAGGCAACCUAACACAAAUUACGGAGUUGAUUUACUUGGGAAUCAGUAGUCAUAGGCUACACUUUUGGACUAGUUGUUGGAACUGUCAUGUGGAGUCUCAUGUUUAAAUAUCGUAAGCCAAAAUGGUUUGUGGAAUUUUUUGAUGGACUCAUGCCUCACAAAAGAAGAAGGCCAAAGAGAAGAGCUCAAAGACGACGGACUUAAUGGAAGAUUGAGAGGGCAACCUUGUCUUUGUUUGAUUUUGUGGACUAAUUACUGAACUUUUCUGGUUCUGUUUUUGUCUUUUUAAUUUUCUGUUUGUUGUUUGUAUAUGUUUGAAAGAAACAUAAUUAUAUGUGAGUCAUUUAAUUAGUAUCAAUGGUUAUUCAAGUUAUGUUAGUUUGUUUCUGUUUCAAGUUGAUAGAAGUGAUCUACACAGCCGCUCAUUAGCUAUGUUACUCAAACUCUUCAAAAUGUCAACGGGUACGUGUUGAAUUCUUCAAAAGUAGUACAAUUUUAAGGAACCAACAUUGGUGUCAUUAUAUUUUAGGAGAGUCGGAGCAACAUAACUCAUCAGCAUAACAAAACAGGAAAAAGCAAAGCAGUAAGCAAAUUGAUCAGUUUGGUUUAUGAUUGAAAUCACUUGAUAUUAGAAAGUUUAUAUUUUUGAAAAUUAAUGUAGAAGAGUAAUCAAAACUACAGAAUUGGCUAAUAAUUUUGUGGUUCUGCAUCUUUCUAAUCAUAAAUCAGCCAUAAAAUAUUCUCUAGCUCAGUUUCAACUUCCGCGAUUUUAAUUUUAGUAAGUUUUUACAUAUAUUUAUACUUCGUGGACGAAAGUUAUCUCUGGUUGUUCAACAACUAAUUCAUAUUGUUUGAUUAUCAAUGAAGGAAAGGUUUUUUUAAAGGGCAAAACGCUCUAUACGAGGAUUUUUUAUUAUUUUUCAAGUUUGAAUUCAAGACCUGUGAUUCAGUUUCAUCCGGAACUUUACUGUCUACAAAACUACAUGUCAAAGUUAUUUUUGAUGAACUAAAAUAGACUUAUUCCCAAAAUUUAAUUUAACGCAAAAAGAAAUAUAAUCAAAUUAUUUAAAAAUUAAGAAAGACAAAUUAAAACCUUUACAUAAUUUGACACAUGGCAAAAUAUAAUUGGCUAAAAUUUUGGUCCCACAAAUAGUCAACUCACCUGUCAAAAAAUGACAUUCCUAUUUUCUUUUCCUAAUUUUAGUUUGGACACUUUGAAAACAAUUAAAGUAUCUUUGUCUGGUUAUGGCCGUUCAAAGCUUUGAUUAUAACAAGAAAGAUGAUUGAAAAUAUCGGUUUUCUUCCUUUUAAUUGGUUUGUUUUAUUAUUUUUUUGAAAUUUAAUUUAUUUAUCGUACUUUAUACUUAAAUUUGUCUCAAAAAGAAUAAUACGUUUCACAUAUAUAUAUAUAUAUAUAUUUAAGACUAUAACAUUAAAAGAUAUUUUGAUAUGUUUUUUAUAUAACUUUAAUUUAAUAUUAUAUCAUUGAAAAUUCUUCUUUACUUAUAUAUUUUUUUUAUUUUGAAUUUUUAUAUUUCAAUAUUCCACGUGACACGUUAAAAAGUCACUUUAGUAGUAUAAGAUUCAAAAGAUUUUUUUUUCACUUUGUUAAACUUAUAUCAAGUCGAUAGAAACUAGACAAACAAAUUAAAACGAAGUCACACUUUUCAAUACAUAUUCCAACUUUCAUUGAGUCUGAAGAUAUACUUUCUGAUUUAUUUAUUUUCAAGAAUUUACCUGUUGGAAGAACCCCACCAGAAGAAAACUCCAAAAAACAGACUAAAAAUCCCAACUUUGAGUUUUUCUUUCAACAAUUAUAAGUUUCAGUGAAAAUCUCAAGAUGUAAUUUUUUUCAAGAAUUCAUCUUUUAGGAAAACCCCAUAAGAAGAAAACUCCAAAAACAGAUUCAAAAUCUCACCUUUUUUUUAGAUCUUUUCAACAUUUUUCAGUUUAUUAGCUUACAAAAAUCACUGAACAAGGAAGAAGGGAUUCAAGAAAAAGUGGAAUAAAAAUGUCAUUUGUUUUAGGGGUUGUGUUUGGAAUAGCAUUUGGACUUGCUAUAAUAGUUGCUUUUGUGAAAUCUGAAAAUGCUAGAUCCAAACAACGUACUGAUCUGGUUAGUCAACUAAAGUCUUUGUUUUUUUUGGAUCUUUAUUUUUUUCCAUUUCUGGGUUUUUUUUUUGUAUUUAUGUUGUUUUUUUGGUUGAAUUGUAAAGGCUAGUGGAAUUGCUGCAUUUGCUAGAAUGACAGUGGAAGAUUCAAGAAAAAUCUUUACACCAGAACAAUACCCUUCUUGGGUUGUUUUCUCAAAUCAACAAAAGGUGAAGUCGUUUAACUUUUCUUUAAGAUGUAUUUGGUAGGACGCAGAGGCGGAGUCAGAAUUUUUAGUUUAUAUGGGUUCUAGACCACUGUUCUUUUUGUUUUGUUGGGUUUCUGAAAGCUAUGUUGCUCGGACUCUCAGAAAAUGUUGUUUGUACCCAUUCUGGAUUCUCUAAAGUUGCACUAGUUUGGAGUAUACGACACUAACCAUCAACCGUAACCAUUUUUGAAGAGUCCGAACAACAUUGACUGAAAAGACUAUUUUUACAUCUUAUAACAUUAAUAUAGGGUUAAACCAAAGCUACUGGAUUUUGAUGUACUUGUAGCUAAAGCAAUGUCAUUUAUCAUAAAUCUGUAAACUGACUUAUUUUCUAGAAAAUGUUUUUCGUAAUGGAUUUUUUUUUCUGGGAAAAGACAUUUAAUCGGAUAGUGUUUGGUGAAAAUAUUUGAGUAGUAAAGAUUGAUAAUAAUGUUUAUAUGUUGAGAUAAUUGUUUGCUCCUUUUUGGUGGAAAAUGUUUUCGCAAAACAUAUGUUCUAGCAGCCAAAAUCAGAAAAAAGAGAUUACAAACACACCGUUGAUGUCCUUAUCUGUUUUUGGAGCACAUAGUGACCAUAUAAGAUCAUUGAGAUUAAAUUCAUGCAUUAUGGUUCAAAUUGUGGUCUUUGGUUGCAAGACUGUCCCUUUAUGGACUUUGUUUAAUUUCUAUCUAGAAUACAUCUUGUGAUUUAGUUUGUUGAGGGCAAAAAAUGACCUUUUGAAUUUUUCAAUUUUGUUCUUACAGUUGGCAUGGCCAGAUGUUGUGAUUUAGUCAACUAAAGUUUUUGUUUUUUCUUACUUCAAUUUUUUUGGAUUUUUAGUUUUUUCCAUUUUUGGGGUUUUCUGUAUUUAUGUUGUUUUUUUGGUUGAAUUGUUAAGGCUAGUGGAAUUGCUGCAUUUGCUAGAAGGACAGUGGAAGAUUCAAGAAAAAUCUUCACACCAGAACAAAUACCCUUCUUGGGUUGUUUUCUCAAAUCAGCAAAAGAUGAAGUCUUUAACUUUUCUUUAGGAUGUAUUUGGUAGGACGUAGUGGCUGAGUCAGAAUUUUUAGUUUAUAUGGGUUCUAGACCAUUGGUUCUUUUUUGCUUUGUUGGGUUUCUGAAAAUUAUGUUGUUCGGACUCUCAAAAAAUGUUGUUUGUACCCGUGUCGGAUUCUCUAAAGUUGCACUAGUUUGGAGUAUACGCCAGUAACCCAUCACCCAUCACCAUUUUUGAAGAGUCCGAGCAACAUUGACUGAAAAGACUAUUUAUACAUCUUAACAUUAAUAUAGGGUUAAACCAAAGCUACUGGAUUUUGCCGUACUUGUAGCUAAAGCAAUGUCAUUUAUCAUAAAUCUGUAAAAUGACUUAUUUUCUGGAAAAUGUUUUUCGUGAUGGAUUUUUUUCUGGGAAAAGACAUUUAUUGUAGAUUGAAUCAGCAAAUUGGAUAGUGUUUUGGUGAAAAAUAUGUGAGUAGUAAAGAUUGAUAAUAAUGUCUAUAUGUUGAGAUAAUUGUUGUUCCUUUUUGAUGGAAAAUAAGAUUUUACCAAACACACUGUUGAUGUCCUUUACUGUUUUUGAGCACAUAGUGACCAUAUAAGAUCAUUGAGAUUAAAUUAGUGCAUUAUGGUUCAAAUUGUGGUCUUUGGUUGCAAGACUGUCCCUUUAUGGACUUUGUUUAAUUUCUAUCUAGAAUACAUCUUGUGAUUUAGUUUGUUGAGGGCAAAAAAUGACCUUUUGAAUUUUUCAAUUUUGUUCUUACAGUUGGCAUGGCUUAAUUCUCAUCUUGAAUAGAUCUGGCCAUAUGUGGAUGAGGUUAGGGGUUCAAUGUCUAUACAUAGUUUAGUUUUCCACUCUAUUGCGAUUCUGCAAUUUUUCAUUUCCCCCUUUUUUUGGUUCUAAUUUAUGAUUGUUUGAACUUCUUUGUUGCUAAUUGAGUCGGUAUGGGUAUAUAUGGUAAUUCAGGCAGCAUCAGAACUAGUAAAGUCAAGUGUGGAGCCAGUUUUGGAACAAUAUAGGCCUGUGAUUUUGGCGUCGUUAAAAUUUUCAAAGUUCACUCUUGAUACAGUUGCUCCACAAUUCACAGGUUAGUAGAUUAUGGCUGGUGUAACCUGCCUCAAAGCUCUUGUAUAUUGUACUACCUAAAAGUUUUAGGAGUCACUUAUACAUAUGAACAAACUUAUCAGUCCUCUAGGUCUUUAUGGCAUGCUUAUGUCUGGAGUAGCGUAACAUUUCCCUGCACGGACACCACCACCAUCAAAAAAAAAAAACGGCAUAACAUUUUCUUGCCAUUUAUAGCCUCUUGAGAUGUCAAAAUGUGACAAAUAAUUUGAGACAGGCAAGGGUAUAAAAGAUAUUCAAACCUCAAAGAGCAAUCCUAUCAUCUCGUGUCAGUUAAUCCUUAAUAAAAGAAACUGCUUGUGAGGAUGAAUCUCACUACAUUUAACAAAUGCUUGAUCUCAUGUAUAUGCCACUGCAGGGAUUUCUAUUAUUGAAGAUGGAAGUGAGGGUAUUACUAUGGAAUUAGAGAUGCAAUGGGAUGGUACCAUACCAUCUUGGGUGUUUAGCCUACCUUUGCUAUCUUCAGUGUCGCUCCAACAUAACCGAUUCAGAGGUCUAGCUGAUGAAGUGAUCAAAACCGCUCCAACAUAACCGAUUCGGAGGACUAGCCGAUGAAGUGAUCAAAACAAACCCAACAUUAAAACAACUGCAUUUAAGCAAUAAUCAACUCAGUGGUUCUUUUCCUCAAUCACUUGUGAAUCUCACAAACCUUAAAACCCUUGGACUUUCAUCAAAUAACAUCACCAUUGAUGAGGGAAUGAAUAUCACCUUUCUUAGCCCAUCAUCUUUAUUCUUAUCAUCUUGUCAACUGAAGGAUUUUCCACACUUCUUGAGAAAUGUAAAGACACUUGUGUACUUGGAUAUUUCUAACAAUAUGAUUCGUGGUCAAAUUUCUGACUGGUUUAGCGGCAUGAGGUGGGACAACUUGUGGUACCUAAAUAUUUCACAUAAUCUUUUGACAGGUUACCUACCACAAUUGCAUUUCCAUAAUCUAGGGUAUCUUGAUCUGAAAUUUAACUCCCUUCUGGGUCCACUACCCUCAUCCAUUUGUAACAUGAGUUCGCUUAUCUUAUUAGAUUUAUCACGCAACAACUUCAGUAACUACAGUUUCGUAUGAGGAUUCAUUGAGUUUGGUAAUCAAAGGGCAGGAUAUUGAGCUACAAAGAAUCAACACAAUUAUGACAACCAUAGAUCUCUCAAGCAAUCAUUUUGAAGGUGUGAUUCCGAAAACACUAAAGGAUCUCAGCUCACUUUGGCUACUCAAUUUAUCCCAUAACAAUCUCAUAGGUCAUAUUCCAAUGGAACUAGGGCAAUUGAAUACGCUUGAAGCUUUAGAUCUCUCUUGGAAUUGGCUCACUGGAAAUAUUCUGCAGGAACUGACAAGAAUGAACUUUCUGGCCUUCUUAAACGUCUCUCAAAAUCAUCUUGUCGGACCAAUUCCUCACGGUCUACAGUUCAACACAUUCGAAAAUUAUUCGUAUGGCGGAAACCUUGAUUUAUGUGGUCUUCCUUUAUCAAAGCAAUGUGGAACGAGUGAUUCAUCACAUGUUCCUCAACCAUUGGAGUCCGCAGAAGAAGGCGAGUCAUAUUUUUUUAGUGGAUUUUCUUGGGAAUUAGUAGUAAUAGGCUACAGUUUUGGACUUGUCGUUGGAACUGUCAUGUGGAGCCUCAUGUUUAAAUAUCGUAAGUCAAAGUGGUUUGUGGAAUUUUUUGAUGGACUCAUGCCUCACAAAAGAAGAAGGCCAAAGAAGAGAGCUCAGAGACGAAGGACUUAAUGGAAGCUUGAGAGGGCUAAAUUGUCUUUGUUUGAUUUUGUGGACUAGUGAACUGUUCUGUUUUUGUCUUUUUUUAAUUUUCUAUUUGUUGUUUGUAUAUGUUAGAAACAUAAUUAUAUGUGUGUUAUUGUAGUAUUCAAUUUAUGUUAGUUUGUUUCUGUUUCAAAUUGACAGAAGUGAUCUACACAGCAACUCUAGCUAUGUUACUUAGAUUUUUCAAAAAUGUCAACGGGUACGUGUUGGAUUCUUCAAAAGUUGUGUAUUUAUUAAGGAACCAACAUGAGCAGUGGCGGAUCCAGGAUUUUCAUUAAGGGGUUCGAAAAAAAGAGAGCAGUGCUUAAGAUUUGAGGUUUGAACCCCUCAACCACUAAACUAACCUCUAAUCUUAUAUUCAGGAGGUUCAAAAUCAAUAUAUAAACAUAAAAAUUCUUUAAAAUACCUUAAAUAUACAACAUAAUUUUUUGCCGAGGGAGUUGGUCCACCCCUGAACAUGGGUGCGACAUCAUCAUAUUUUAGGAGAGUCCGAGCAACAUAGCUCAUUAAUACAACAAAAUUGGAUAAAGCAGUGCAGUAAGCAUAUAGAGUUUGGUUCAUGAUUGAAAUUAGUUGAUAUUAGAAAGUUUAUAUUUGUGAAAAUUGAUGUAGAAGAAUGCUCAAAACUACAGAAGUGGCUAAUAAUUUUGUGGUACUUCAUCUUUCUAGUCAUAAAACAUCCUUAAAAUGUUCUCUAACUCAGUUUCAACUUCUGCAAUUUUUAUUUUGGUAGAUUUUUACAUAUAUUUAUACUUCAUGACGAGUGUUAUGUCUCACGUGAUCCAACAACUAAUUCAUACUGCUUGAUUAUGAAUGAGGAAAUUUUUUUGUUUUUGGGAAAAAUGCUCUCUGGAAUCGGCUCACUGGAAAGAUUCCAAGGGAACUGACAAGACUAAAAUUCCUGGCAGUCUAAAAACUCUGUCUGAAUGUUCUUUUUAGACCGAUUGCAUGCUCCUCGUCCAUUGGAGUCCGAAGAAGAAGAAGAAGAAGAGAGUCGUAUUUUGCUAGUUGUGGAUUAAUUGUUGUAACUGUCAUGUGGCACCUCAUGUUUAAAGAUGGUAAGCUGAACAUGUGAUCCUUCAAUACAAUUAGUCUCUCAGUUUUUUUUGCUUGAGUAUCAUUUUUUUUAUCUUCUUAAUUUGAUCACUAUACCUUUAUCUUGAGUCGAGGGUCUACAGAAACAACAUCUCCACUACUUUGGUUAUUUUCCAUCUCUUCAUAUUUGAACUGUAUCAUAUAGAUGGAAUUUCCCUCAUUAACUUAAUGUUAAAAAUCUUUUGGAAAACAGCACAAGAGACAACUAAUCGGAAAUUUCUCUACAGGUGGAAGGAUCUUCACCAAGUUAUUCAGAACAUACUAAUUAAGCAGGAAAACACAGAUCAAACAAAAUUUUGUAUAAAAUUCCACAAGGAGGAAAUGAAGGACUUAAAUCAUGUCUUUAAUUAUUGUUCAUUUUUUUCCUCACUUGACUUAGUCAAGCAAUAGUUUCUACCAUUUGAAAUUUCUAAGAAGUUCUGCAGAAAUUUUUUCUACAUAAUGGGACCAAUUUCACAUUAUCUUGCGUAACACACUGCAGAGAUAGUUAAUGACUUUGAAAUGAACACAACAUCAAGAGAAAAAUAGGACAUAGAGAGUAUUAUUUUGUUAAGUCUUCUCCGUCCUCUAAAAAGUCUUGUGGAACACUACAAAAUAUGAGUAUCAAGUUGUUAGAAGUGAGUAGUACUCAUCUUGUAAUUCAAUUGUUCAUCAGUCCCGAUUCAUCAUAAUCUUUUUUUUUCCUCUAGUCUUUGUGGAAAUUGGCUUAAAGUCUUACAAGUCAUCGUCCGCUAGUUACAAUACUGUAUCACUUUUUUCCUUAGUUGGAAUGGAAUAUUGAUGGAUUUUCCCUUAUUUACUUAAUGUGAAAAUUAUUGUGUACCUAACAAGUUUGAAAAUAGCAGAAGAGACAACUAAUCACUCACUCGGAUUGACCUUUUCUGAUUGUAUAGAUUUCAUGGAAAAAUUGCACCAAAAUUUAUUUAAUCCUCAAUUGACUUGGUCAUGCAACAGUUUCUCUUUGAAAAGUAUUGUGGAAAACAGAAGAGAUGUUGAUGGAAAGUUGGACAAGGUUGACAUAAAACAGGAGUUCAAAUAACUAUAAAAUAUGUAUGGAUUUUGAAAAAACAGAACAUUCUGUAAUAUGCUGUAAACAAAAAGUAAUUCCCGUGACCAGUUCAGUUCAAGGUUGGUCACGGGAGGGUUGAAUAAAAAUCACUUGAAAGUUGUUAAGGGGGUAUUUAAAUGUUCAUGUAGUUUAAGUCCUAAAGUAAAUUUGGCUAUCAAGUUUGAGGGUGAUUUUAGGAUUUUUCUCAAAAGUUAGCAGUCAAAUUGAAAAAAGUGUUCAAAUUGGGAAAAUAUGUAAAAAUUGUUAUUUUCCAUCUCUUCCUAUUUGAACUGUAUCAUAUAGAUGGAAUUUCCCUCAUUAACUUAAUGUGAAAAGUCUUCAGCACAAGAGACAACUAAUCGGAAAUUUCUCAUAAAAUUUCUCUGCAGGUGGAAUGAUCUUCACCAAGUUAUUCAAAACAUACUAAGCAAGCAGGAAAUGAAGGACUUAAAUCAUGUCUUUAAUUAUUGUUCAGUUUUUUCCUCACUUGACUUAGUCAAGCAAUAGUUUCUACCAUUUGAAAUUUCUAAGAAGUUCUGCAGAAAUUUUUUCUACAUAAUAGGACCAAUUUCACAUCAUCUUGUGUAACACACACUAUAGAGAUAGUUAAUGACUUCGAAAUGAACACAACAUCUAGAGAAAAUGAGGACAUAUGGAGUAUUAUUUUGUUAAGUCUUCUCCGUCCUCUAACAAGUCUUGUGGAACACUACAAAAUAUGAGUAACAAGUUGUUAGAAGUGACUAGUACUCAUUUUUGAUUCAAUUGUUCAUCAGUCCCGAUUCAUCAUAAUCUUUUCCCCCCCUCUAGUCUUUGAGGAAAUUAUCUUAAAGGCUUACAAGUCAUCGUCUGCUAGUUACAGUACCGUAUCCCUUUUUUCCUUAGGUGGAAUGGAAUAUUGAUGGAUUGUCCCUUAUUAACUUAAUGUGAAAAUUAUUGUGUACCUAACAAGUUUGAAAAUAGCAGAAGAGACAACUAAUCACUGACUCGGAAUAUUGACCUUUUAUGAUUGUAUAAAUUCCAUGGAAAAAUUGCAUAAAAAAUUAUUGCAUUCUUUGUGGAAAUUGUCUUAUUAAAGACUUUGGCUUCAAAGAACAAAAUAAAAUUCCACACGGUAUUAUUGUUUUGUUGUUACAUACUCUUAAGUUGAUGUCUUUAAUUAUUCUUCAUUUUUUUUCCUCACUUCAUGACUUAGUCAAGCAAUAGUUUCUCUCAUUGGAAAUUUUUCACAACUUAUGCAGAAAUAUUUUCUACUGUGAGUGUUACGUAACUUGACCAAUUUCACAUCAUCUUGCGUAACACACACCGUAGAGAUAGUCGAUCGAUGAUCUCGAAAUGAACAACAACAUCUAGGGAAAAUGAUGUGUACCAAGUCGUUAGAAGUGACUAGUACUCAUUCAUGGACCAUAUGUGACUGAAAAUUGACUUUACACUUGGGACAACAUUUUUUGCAACCACAAAUUAUUACCCCAUUUAUUUAAUUAUCUAUGUGUUUCUUUUCUUUCGUUAAUUUAUACCUCAAUAGUCCCAUGCAUAGACAAGUCAACAACGUUACUUUAUGAAAUAUUGUUUAGUUAAUUGUUUACUUUAUUUAAUGUGGAGGUUGUUGUAAUAAUUAAGAAAUGGAAUAGUGUUUAGUUACUUAUAGCAUCCUUUCCUACAUGGCUACUUAUUUUAUUGACUUAUUUAUAUCUUGGCAAUUAUCAUGAAUUUUGAUAAUGCAUGUUUUCAUUGAACACGGGUGCAACUUAGAAAGUAGUAUAUAUAUGUGUGGAUAAUACUGAUUGAUUUGUAAGAAGAACACAUCCAUCCUGUUAUUUGCUGAAAACAAACAAACAAAAAAUGGUCAUGAGUCUGUUUUUCUUUCAUUCAUUUCUGUAUUUUGUGUUGCUAAUAAGUAUGUUUUUCUUCUUCCUUUGAUCAUCAUCUUUGCUCUCCCACCGAAGCUUCUGCUUUGCUUCAGUUUAAGCAAUCUUUUGGAGUUGAUUACAACUACUCCAAAUGUUUUACUUCUUUCCCAAAAAGAAAGUCUUGGAAUGAGAGUAGGGAUUGCUGCAGUUGGGAUGGAGUCACUUGUGACUUAUUAAACGGUCAUGUUAUCGGGUUAGACCUUAGUUGUAGUCUGCUUAGUGGAAGUAUUCAUCCCAAUAGCACCCUCUUCCAACUUCAUCAUCUCCAGGCACUAAACCUUGCUUACAAUCACUUCAGCUAUUCUUCAAUCCCACAUAACAUUGGCCGAUUGACAAAUUUGGUUUCGCUUGAUCUUUCUUCUGAUUUUUAUGGACUACAACUUGAUGAGAGAACAUUUGAAACAAUGCUUCAAAACUUGACAAAUCUGGAAGUACUAUCUCUCUUUCUUGUCAACAUCUCAUCUCCGAUGCCUGUGAAUAUUUCUUCCUCUUUAAGGUACCUGGAUCUUCGUUAUACUAAUCUGCGAGGUGUUCUAACAGAGAGCUUUUUCCUUCUGCCAAACAGCUUGGAAACGCUCAAACUGAGUGGGAAUGAUCUUCUCAAAGGAGUUUUUCCAAAGAUCCACCGGAGCAACACUCUGUUAAUGGAGUUGGAUAUUUCAUACACAGGCAUCUCUGGUGAGCUGCCUCAUUCAAUUGGCACCUUUAGUUCAUUGAAAUACUUAAACCUCCAAGGAUGCCAAUUCUCUGGUUCCAUUCCUAAUUCCAUUGACAACCUAACCCAAAUUACGGAGUUGAUUUUAUCUUAUAAUCAUUUCACUGGACAUAUUCCUUCCACAAUCUCUAAAUUGAAGUACCUCACAAAUUUACAUCUUUCUGACAACUCCUUUUCAGGUGAAAUUCCUGAUGUUUUUUCUAAUCUCAAAGAGCUACGUUAUUUAGAUCUUUUUAAUAACAGCUUCAUCGGUCCAUUUCCUGCUUCAAUUUUAAGUUUGACACAUCUUGAAUACUUAGGAUUGUCGAGUAAUUCCCUAUCUGGCCCACUGCCUAGCAAAGCAAGCAUGCUUCAAAAGCUAUCCGAACUGCAUUUGUCUUACAACUCGCUGAAUGGUACCAUACCAUCUUGGGUGUUUAACCUCCCUUUGCUAUCUUCGUCGUGGCUCAAUCAUAAUCAAUUUAGUGGACUAGCCGAUGAGAUCAAAACAAACCCAACAUUAGAAUUCCUGUAUUUAAAUAAUAAUCAACUCAGCGGUUCUUUUCCUCAAUCACUUGUGAAUCUCACAAACCUUUCUACCCUUGACCUUUCAUCAAAUAACAUCACUAUUGAUGAGGGAAUGAAUAUCACCUUUCCUAGCCUUGAAAUUUUGCAGUUAUCAUCUUGUGAACUGAAGGAUUUUCCACACUUGUUGAGAAAUGUAAAGACACUUCAGGUCUUGGAUAUUUCUAACAAUAAGAUUUGUGGUCAAAUCCCUAACUGGUUUAGCGGCAUGAGGAUGGGACUCGUUGCAGCUAUUAAACCUUUCUCAUAAUUCAUUAACAGGCCACCUACCACAAUUUCAUUUCCAUAAUCUAGUGUCUCUUGAUCUGAAAUUUAACUCCCUUCAGGGUCCACUACCUUCAUCCAUUUGUAACAUGAGCAGACUUUUCUUAUUAGAUUUAUCACAUAACUACUUCAGUGACUCAGUUGCACAUUGCUUGGGAAGCAUGGCUAGUCUAACCGUGCUAGACUUGAGAAGGAACAAUUUCAUAGGGAAUCUUCCCCCAUUAUGUGCACAGGGCACUUCAUUGAGUACCAUUGUCGUAAAUGGUAAUCGAUUUGAAGGACCUGUACCUGUGUCGUUGCUCAAGUGUAAUGUUCUAGAAGUCCUUGAUGUGAGGAACAAUGCUAUAAAUGACACAUUUCCAGCUUGGCUCGGAACUCUUCAAGAGCUGCAGGUCCUUAUAUUAACGUCGAACAAGUUCCAUGGACCUAUAAGUACUUGUCAGACUAAGCUUUGCUUUCCCAACUUGCAAAUUUUUUAUCUUUCUCGUAAUGAUUUCAGUGGCUCACUUCCUGCAAAAGUUUUUGGAAACUUCAAGGCAAUGAUCAAAUUAGAUGACGAAGACACAAGAGAGAUCAAGUACAUGGAAUCUAAGUCAAAUUUGUCAUUUGACACAUCUUAUGAGGAUUCAGUGAGUUUGGUAAUCAAAGGGCACGAUAUUGAGCUACAAAGAAUCAGCACAAUUACGACAACCAUAGAUCUCUCAAGCAACCAUUUUGAAGGUGUCAUUCCGGAAACACUAAAGGAUCUCAGCGCACUUUGGCUACUCAAUUUAUCCCACAACAAUCUCAUAGGUCAUAUUCCAAUGGAAUUGGGGCAAUUGAAUACACUUGAAGCUUUAGAUCUCUCCUGGAAUCGGCUCACUGGAAAGAUUCCGCAGGAAUUGACAAGAAUAAACUUUCUAGCAGUCUUAAACCUCUCCCAAAAUCAUCUCGUCGGACCAAUUCCUCAAGGUCCACAAUUCAACACAUUUGGAUAUGACUCAUAUGGUGGCAACCUUGAUUUAUGUGGUCUUCCUUUAUCAAAGCAAUGUGAAACAAGUGAUUCAUCACAUGUUCCUCAACAAGAAGAUGAAGGCGAGUCAUAUUUUUUUAGUGGAUUUACGUGGGAAUCAGUAGUCAUAGGCUACAGUUGUGGUCUAGUUGUUGGAACUUUUCAUGUGGAGUCUCAUGUUUAAAUAUCGUAAGCCAAAAUGGUUUGUGGAAUUUUUUGAUGGACUCAUGCCUCACAAAAGAAGAAGGCCAAAGAAGAGAGCUCAGAGAUGACGGACUUAAUGGAAGAUUGAGAGGGUAACCUUGUCUUUGUUUGAUUUUGUGGACUAAUUAGUGAACUUUUCUGGUUCUGUUUUUGUCUUUUCAAUUUUCUAUUUGUUGUUUGUAUAUGUUUGAUAGAAACAUAAUUAUAUGUGUGUUAUUCAAGUUAUGUUAGUUUGUUUCUGUUUCAAGUUGAUAGAAGUGAUUUACACAGCCACUCAUUAGUUAUGUUACUCAGACUCUUCAAAAAUGUCAAC